GAGUUUGAUCCUGGCUCAGGACGAACGCUGGCGGCGUGCUUAACACAUGCAAGUCGAACGAGAAUCUGUGGAACGAGGAUUCGUCCAAGUGAAGCAGAGGACAGUGGCGGACGGGUGAGUAACGCGUGAGGAACCUGCCUUUCAGAGGGGGACAACAGUUGGAAACGACUGCUAAUACCGCAUGGCACAUAGAUGUCGCAUGGCAUUUAUGUCAAAGAUUUAUCGCUGAAAGAUGGCCUCGCGUCUGAUUAGCUAGUUGGUGAGGUAACGGCCCACCAAGGCGACGAUUGGUAGCCGGACUGAGAGGUUGAACGGCCACAUUGGGACUGAGACACGGCCCAGACUCCUACGGGAGGCAGCAGUGGGGGAUAUUGCACAAUGGGGGAAACCCUGAUGCAGCGACGCCGCGUGGAGGAAGAAGGUUUUCGGAUUGUAAACUCCUGUCGUUAGGGACGAUAAUGACGGUACCUAACAAGAAAGCACCGGCUAACUACGUGCCAGCCGCCGCGGUAAUUC
rnacentral:rRNA from 1 species